rnacentral:snoRNA from 4 species
GGAUUUAUAAUGAUCUGUGUUUACUGAGCAUGAUGAAGUAAAGUUCAACAUGAUUACUCUGAAGUCU